UCGCAGUGCACUCACAGGGAGCGCGCUCCCAUCGACGCUGCGUGGAAAGUCCCCGUGUCUCAGGGCAGCGAGUGCCAGUGGGAGACCGCGCGGUCCUGGUCGUAGCGUGACCGGUGACGCCUUUCGGCAGAGCUGCGAGCGCUCGGCCCGGGCCGUUCGCAUCAGCACAGCUAUGUUGUGAGCAUCCACAAGGGUGCCAACUGAACGGGGCUCACUCUG
rnacentral:RNase_MRP_RNA from 13 species